AUUGAACGCUGGCGGCAUGCCUUACACAUGCAAGUCGAACGGUAACAGGUCUUCGGAUGCUGACGAGUGGCGAACGGGUGAGUAAUACAUCGGAACGUGCCUAGUAGUGGGGGAUAACUACUCGAAAGAGUGGCUAAUACCGCAUGAGAUCUACGGAUGAAAGCAGGGGAUCGAAAGACCUUGUGCUACUAGAGCGGCCGAUGGCAGAUUAGGUAGUUGGUGGGAUAAAAGCUUACCAAGCCGACGAUCUGUAGCUGGUCUGAGAGGACGAUCAGCCACACUGGGACUGAGACGCGGCCCAGACUCCUACGGGAGGCAGCAGUGGGGAAUUUUGGACAAUGGGCGAAAGCCUGAUCCAGCAAUGCCGCGUGCAGGAUGAAGGCCUUCGGGUUGUAAACUGCUUUUGUACGGAACGAAAAGCCCUGGGUUAAUACCCUGGGGUCAUGGCGGUACCGUAAGAAUAAGCACCGGCUAACUACGUGCCAGCCGCCGCGGUAACAC
rnacentral:rRNA from 1 species